rnacentral:rRNA from 1 species
UACAGAGGGUGCAAGCGUUGUUCGGAAUUAUUGGGCGUAAAGCGCGUGUAGGCGGCUUUGCAAGUCGGGUGUGAAAGCCCUCAGCUCAACUGAGGAAGUGCGCCCGAAACUGCAGAGCUUGAGUGCCGGAGAGGGUGGCGGAAUUCCCCAAGUAGAGGUGAAAUUCGUAGAUAUGGGGAGGAACACCGGUGGCGAAGGCGGCCGCCUGGACGGUAACUGACGCUGAGACGCGAAAGCGUGGGAGCAAACAGGAUGAGAUACCCCGAGUAGUCA